rnacentral:rRNA from 1 species
GACGAACGCUGGCGGCGUGCUUAACACAUGCAAGUCGAACGGAAAGGCCCUGCUUGCAUGGUCCUCGAGUGGCGAACGGGCGGGUAACACGUGGGUGAUCUGCCCUCUACUUUUUGAUAAGCCUGGGAAACGGGGUCCAAAACCUGAUAGGAGCCACGUCCUACGUGAUGGUUGAAAAGUUUUUUCGGUGUUGCGUGAGUUGGCGGCCUAUCAGCUUGUUGGUGGGGUAAUGGCCUACCAGGGCGGCAACGGGUAGCGGGACUGUGGGAGUGGGCGGCCACAUAGAGACUGAGAGGAGGCCCAGGUUCCUAAGAGAGGAAGAUGGGGGGAAUAUUGCACAAUGGGCGCAAGGCUGAUGAAGCGAGGCCGCGUGGGGGAUGACGGCCUUCGGGUUGUAGAAAAGUUGCGCUAGGGACGAAGCUUGUUGUGACGGUACCUAGAGAAGAAGCACCGGCUAACUACGUG